rnacentral:rRNA from 1 species
AGGGAAUUUUCUACAAUGGACGAAAGUCUGAUGGAGCAACGCCGCGUGAACGAUGAAGGUCUUCGGAUUGUAAAGUUCUGUUGUUAGGGACGAAACCGUACCGUUCGAACAGGGCGGUACCUUGACGGUACCUAAUUAGAAAGCCACGGCUAACUACGUGCCAGCAGCCGCGGUAAUACGUAGGUGGCAAGCGUUGUCCGGAAUUAUUGGGCGUAAAGCGCGCGCAGGCGGCUAUGUAAGUCUGAUGUUAAAGCCCGAGGCUCAACCUCGGUUCGCAUUGGAAACUGUGUAGCUUGAGUGCAGAAGAGGAAAGCGGUAUUCCACGUGUAGCGGUGAAAUGCGUAGAGAUGUGGAGGAACACCAGUGGCGAAGGCGACUCUCUGGUCUGUAACUGACGCUGAGGCGCGAAAGCGUGGGGAGCAAAC